GGUAACUUGGCCGAGUGGUCUAAGGCGCUGUGUUCAGGUCGCAGUCUUAAUUGGCGCAGGUUCGAAUCCUGCAGUUAUCA